rnacentral:misc_RNA from 1 species
AAGUCGUAACAAGGUUUCCGUAGGUGAACCUGCGGAAGGAUCAUUAACACGUAUCCAACGUUAAACCCCCCCGUGAACCUUCAUUGUGCUCCCCCAUUCCGUUAGGACGCGGCAAUCCCUGGUAAAUCAUCGCCGAACAGUUUUGAUUCAGGGACCUCUGCAUGGAGUGGGCAGCAGCGCGAGGCAAGUGACCUGGCAUUCCUCUGCUUGUUGGUGUCUGAAAGUGUCACUAGCUCUGAGUAACAAUCGCUAGAGGCCGACACGGCCGGCGACCGGGUCGCUGGGCUCACGCCCCCCUAUCACCUUUGCAUGAAAAAACAAUGGAUAUCUUGGUUCUC